ACUCUUCUUCUUCUUCUUCUUCUUCCUAAUAGCCUAUUCCAAAAUUGCUUCUCUCUCACUUUCCCUGUAUUUUCUGUGCUUCUUCUUCCUUUUCAGUUCUAUGUCUGCAUCUCUAUUUAGUAUUUAGUCAUUUAUGGUUACUUUUGAUUCUUAAGUUGUUGCAUGUUGGUUUUACAUGAUUUAGAAGUGAUCGGAAAGAAACCAAGCGAAAAUGAGGCAAAAAGGAGCUAAAAUGAAGAAAAUGAGAAAAGUGACUAGAAAUGCAAAGUAUGGACAGAUCUGCAAAUCUGGGGCUAUUUUCGCCAUUUCUAAGUGGAAAAGUUGUGAAGCUACAAAAAGAAAGACUUGGAGAACAUUAUUUUCAUCUUUGGCCAUUUUACAAGUCUUGGAGAGCUAGGGUUCCAACACCCACACUUGGGGACUGAAG